CAUCUUGCAAAAUGCACACUUGGCUUCACGACGUUGCUGCACUACCGUCUUAGAUGUUUCCUCUGCUGGACAGAAAGUCAAAGUUUAUCUAGGUUUCAUGGUGUAAGGCUGAAAGAAGUCUCUUCCAAGAUUUUUGUUCUUGUCCAUUCAUUCUCCAGAAAUGACAAUACUCCCUAAAUAUGUCUUGUUAACCCUGUUCCAUCACUUUAUUUAUCAGUGCUCCUGUCUACUGGAUGGUCGCCUCCAUUGAUAACUUCUACUAGUCUUAGUCGACUCUCAACCAUCCUAAAGAAGGGUCAGGGACCCCAGAAUGCCCCCUCUAUCCCCUUGCCAGACACCCCACUGGGAGCAAACAGUCCCUCAGGAAGUGACCCAAUGCAGGCGUCUGACAGUUUAUGUAUUGAUUUGUCAUAAAAUGUCAUGGAUGACAAAAGGCUGUUCAGACAUGUUUUUUUAUUUUAUUUCGUAUGCUUCUGAAUUACACCGCAUUCACAUAAAAGAUGUGCAUCCAAGACUGUCUUGAAUUUAAGGUCCGGUCUAAAAAUAUUCCACGGGAAGUGUGACAUUCCAGACUGAUAGGCCCAGCGGUACAAAGCAACAUGCGAACAAUAAACUUUCCCUAAAUCGGAAUCACCUCAGACAAUAUAGGAAAUGAGAGGCUGCUGAGGGUUGUCUUCCUCUGCAAACUGUUGUGUCUAAGCUUGCUUGGAGCUGGCCAUGGAAACAUGGAGGCCGUGGCAAGUGGCCACAUCAAAAGAAUAGGAUGUUAAAUGUGAUAAACAGAUACUGGUGAGCUGGACCCGUAAAAGAUAUAACAAGUGCUGAUGUCAAUGGACGGAAGACAUAGAUCUACCAAACAGGAGUGCAGCCAGGCAGACACUGGUCCACCUCCAAAACAGCACUUAGAGGAAGUAAUCUCACAUUUAAACCCAAGAUUGGAUCAGCUACUUUAGUUUGAAGAGAGUCAAAUCAACUUUACGCUGAUAAGACCCCUAAAUCUGGGCCGACCGUGAACAAUGAGCGUGUCUACAUGCGAUGCGAGUGUCAAAUGAGGAAAAGACGAAGUCACCUUCAGUUUGACUGACAGCAGUACAGAAAAGCAUUUGACCUGAGUGAUUUGUCAAUGGACAGGGACGGACACAAAGAGGUAUUGAUUGGCUGGGGAGAAAAGGCAAGACACAAUGCGGUAGGCAGCGGGAUAGGUGAAACGAUCAAUAUGGUGGUUCUGCUCCAGGGAUCCUCUUCACCAGCACACAGUGAGGCAGGAAGCAGCGAGCAGCAAACAAACACUGACACUCGGAGCGGAAACCUCGGGUGGUAUCUCUCGUUCGCAUACCCACAUCCAUUGCAAUGUACGCAAACAGACUGUCUCCUAACCACAAACGCAAACAAGCUUUCGCACAAGCCCUCUCGAAUCAAAGAGCACUAUCGUACCUGAAAUCUCACAUUUUCACUUGUGUCUCAUCAUCUGAUUUGGUGCUGUUCUCGGAUAUGACUAACACCAUGUGUGGUUUGUGCCUUUGGGUGAAGAAACUGACUGCAAGUGAAAAUGAUAAAUGGAUGAAUGAAUGGGUGGGAGCCCCAUCAUCACCCCCCCCCCCCCACACACACCCCAAAAAAUAUUUUUUUAAAAGCGAAUAAAGCCGAAUUUCAUGUCACGCAUUCAAGAGAACAAUAAUGUUAUUGUAUGUGUAUAUUGUUAAUGCAUACACAUAUAAAAAAAUACUUUUAUUAAAUGUAUUAAUUCAUUUUGGUUUAGCUGACAAACUUCAUGUUCGCUAGUAUUUUGAGGAAGAUGCCACAUUCCUCCACCAGGCGCUUGACGUUAAUAAAGACAGUUACUGAAAGGUU